GACGGAGGGGGCUAGCGUUGUUCGGAAUGACUGGGCGUAAAGGGCGCGUAGGCGGUUGAUCAAGUCAGGCGUGAAAGCCUUGGGCUUAACCCAAGAACUGCGUUUGAGACUGGUUGACUAGAGGACGAGAGAGGAAAGCGGAAUUCCGAGUGUAGAGGUGAAAUUCGUAGAUAUUCGGAGGAACAUCAGAGGCGAAGGCGGCUUUCUGGCUCGUAUCUGACGCUGAGGCGCGAAAGCGUGGGGAGCAAACAGG
rnacentral:rRNA from 1 species